rnacentral:rRNA from 1 species
AAUCAACGCGGGCGGCGUGCUAACACAUGCAAGUCGCACGAGAAAGGGGCUUCGGCUCUGAGUAAAGUGGCGCACGGGUGAGUAACACGUGACUAAUCUACCCUCGAGUGGGGAAUAACUGAGAGAAAUCUUAGCUAAUACCGCAUAACACUUACGAGUCAAAGCAGCAAUGCGCUUGGGGAGGAGGUCGCGGCCGAUUAGCUAGUUGGCGGGGUAAUGGCCCACCAAGGCGAUGAUCGGUAUCCGGCCUGAGAGGGCGCACGGACACACUGGAACUGAAACACGGUCCAGACUCCUACGGGAGGCAGCAGUGGGGAAUUUUGCGCAAUGGGGGAAACCCUGACGCAGCAACGCCGCGUGGAGGAUGAAAUAUCUUGGUAUGUAAACUCCUUUCGAUGGGGAAGAUUAUGACGGUACCCAUAGAAGAAGCCCCGGCUAACUUCGUGCCAGCAGCCGCGGUAAUACGAGGGGGGCAAGCGUUGUUCGGAUUUAUUGGGCGUAAAGGGUGCGUAGGCGGUUUGAUAAGUCUGAUGUGAAAUCUAUGGGCUCAACCCAUAGUCUGCAUUAGAAACUGUCG